AUUUUAAUAAAAUACAGAAACCUACCCACCACGAACUUGGACUUUGACAGUUGGCUUUGCCUGGGACGUUCGUUGGAUUGCUAAGGAGAACGUUGCAGAAUUUAGUUUAAAUGAAAAUCCCAUAAGCACCCUCAUGUAAUCCGUAACCGCAUGUAUGAAUAGUGAAACUGCGUAUAUGCUGCUUGGGCUGAAUCUGCACAUAUGAUACACACCCAAAAUGCUCGGGAGGUUUCACAGUCUUUCAGAUUUGGGAAUGUUUGCAUAGGCUGGCCAGUUGAGCAUCCCUAAUCGGAAUACUGAGAUUUUCCAAAAUCUAAAACUUUGAGCGUGGUGCUCAGAAAGUCACAGAUUUUAGAGCAUUUUGCAUUUUGGAUUUUCAGAUUAGGGAUGCUCAGCCUGUGUUAACCGCAUGUGAGGCGUUCAGGUCAUGCCCAGCGUUAGAAUCAGUUGCGUGUCCUUCCCGGGUGGCACAGAGUAGAUGGAGACUGAGACGCGCCAUUGGCCCUCGGUAGGCAGAUUUGCGGACCAAGCUCACAGAGUGAAAACUGGCAGCUUCUGUUUUCCUAAGGAACGCGUUCAAGGCACAGUGAAUAUUUUCAAGGAAGAAUGGAAGAAGAAUUGCAUCUCAUUCUAAGGAAAGGGGUAAGUGCAUCCAGGGAAAUAAGGUAAGCUUAAUUAAGCACAGGAAUGUCCCAGGGAGAUAGGAACGUGGUGAGUAGGUGGUAGAUGAUGGUUAGUGUGGUUUGAAUGUCGGGUUCACUCCCAAAAUCCCUAUGUUGAAACCUAAUCUCGGUACAGUGCUACUGGGAGGUAUGGCCUUUGGGCGGUAGUUAGGUCAUAACGGUGAAGCCCGCAUCAGUGGGAUUAGUGUGCUUAUGGAAGAGGCCUGGGGGUCUCAUUCACCCCUUACAGCAUGAGAGGACACAAGACGGCUUUCAAGCAGAAGAGUGAGGAGCAGCGGGCAGACUCCUGAUCUGCUGGUGCCUUCAUCUCAGACUCUCAGCCUCCAGUACCGUGAACAGUGAAACUCUGCCGUUUGUCACCUAACCAGCGCAAGGCACGGU
rnacentral:lncRNA from 1 species